CUCUACAGCCAUACCACCCUAGACACUUCUGAUCUUGGAACCUAGCAGGGUCAGGCCUGGUUAAUACUUAGAUAGGAGACCUCCUGGGACCAGGUGCUGUAGGCU
rnacentral:rRNA from 1 species